UCGGCUGAGGUCCGGGUGUCUGAAGCACUGUAUCUCUUGAAUUGGCCGUGUCUUACGUGCUGCAGUCGGCCUUACUACACUGUAUUUUAAUUGGCCCGGUUAUGAUUUGAUGUUUCCCUGCCGUUGUUUGGCGCAGCUAGGCUGUUAUGCAGCAAACAGGUGCAAUACAGUAUCUGGCCCCAUACUAAUGGAAUGGACAUAGAUUGGUGUCAUGCCGUUUCGCGCCGAAAAAAAGUCAACACGAUAUACGGACAUUACUCGGUACACGGCCUCAUACUGUUAAACAACCAUUGGCCCACUACCUGCGGAACGGCCAUAGGCCGACUAUCAUCAGUGAUAUUAAGCCAGGACGGCGCCAAACGACCCUUUUUUCUACACCAUCUGUGCUACCAGCUGUUGGCUCCCUAGUCCCUUAAUCAGGAAGAAUGUGGGUUUCCCCAGCCAUAGCUAUUACUUUAGUGGGUCGUGAAGGGAGGAGCAUGGAGAACAUGUGUGGAAGUCCAGGAGUAUCGAAUAAAAGAAACAUGUAACAAUUCAUUCACUGCUUAUCUGAUGUGAGGUCACGGUGAGCUUGGAGACUAUCCCACAAAGCUCCGGGUACCCUGGAUGCCAUCCUGUCACCAUCGCUGAUCAGGUACUUAGUUCACACAAGCAGAGCAUGUUGUUUUAGAACUGUAGGCG